UUCUGCAACCUGUAAUUCGAGAUU
rnacentral:siRNA from 1 species